rnacentral:rRNA from 1 species
CCUACGGGAGGCAGCAGUAGGGAAUAUUGCUCAAUGGGGGAAACCCUGAAGCAGCAACGCCGCGUGGAGGAUGAAGGUUUUCGGAUUGUAAACUCCUUUUGUUAGAGAAGAUAAUGACGGUAUCUAACGAAUAAGCACCGGCUAACUCCGUGCCAGCAGCCGCGGUAAUACGGAGGGUGCCAGCGUUACGCGGAAUCACUGGGCGUAAAGAGAGCGUAGGCGGGAUAGCAAGUCAGAUGUGAAAUCCUAUGGCUUAACCAUAGAACUGCAUUUGAAACUGUUAUUCUAGAGUAUGGGAGAGGUAGGUGGAAUUCUUGGUGUAGGGGUAAAAUCCGUAGAGAUCAAGAGGAAUACUCAUUGCGAAGGCGACCUGCUGGAACAUUACUGACGCUGAUGCACGAAAGCGUGGGGAGCAAACAGGAUUAGAUACCCCGGUAGUC